rnacentral:rRNA from 1 species
CGAGCUGUGAGAUCUUCGGAUGGAUACACUUAGUGGCGGACGGGUGAGUAACGCGUGGGUACCUGCCUCACACUGGGGGAUAACAGUUAGAAAUAGCUGCUAAUACCGCAUAAGUCCGCAUGGAAAAAACUCCGGUGGUGUGAGAUGGACCCGCGUCUGAUUAGCCAGUUGGCGGGGUAACGGCCCACCAAAGCGACGAUCAGUAGCCGGCCUGAGAGGGUGAACGGCCACAUUGGGACUGAGACACGGCCCAAACUCCUACGGGAGGCAGCAGUGGGGAAUAUUGCACAAUGGGGGAAACCCUGAUGCAGCGACGCCGCGUGAGUGAAGAAGUAUUUCGGUAUGUAAAGCUCUAUCAGCAGGGAAGAAGUGACGGUACCUGAAUAAGAAGCCCCGGCUAACUACGUGCCAGCAGCCGCGGUAAUACGUAGGGGGCAAGCGUUAUCCGGAUUUACUGGGUGUAAAGGGAGCGUAGACGGCAAGGCAAGUCUGAAGUGAAAGCCCGGUGCUUAACGCCGGGACUGCUUUGGAAACUGUUUGGCUGGAGUGCCGGAGAGGUAAGCGGAAUUCCUAGUGUAGCGGUGAAAUGCGUAGAUAUUAGGAAGAACACCAGUGGCGAAGGCGGCUUACUGGAC